CAUUUGGGACGAACACAGGGUUUGCAGUCCCAUGAACUCGCAGUAACAGCAGCAAAUGGAACUUAACAAGACAUUCAUUAACUGCAUCCUACUAUCUUAUCAAGGGGAAGUAAUAAAGGAGACUAUGAGAAGGGAGUGAGCCACCUGACCAACGCAAUUUCUGUGUGUGGUUAACUCCGGCAGCUCCUCUAGGUGCUCCGCAGACCUAUCCUGUUUUUUAGAUCCUGCUGGAACGGUCCACUGUCAGCCAGAUGAGUCUGCUCUCCCAUGGAAAGGAAGGGCUGUUGUGGACACCUGAUAGAUUGUAAAUUACAGUUUUGUAUUACUGUUUUAUGUAUUUACUGUACAAGCAUAAAUUGUGUAGAUUCAAUUUACAUCUCUCUCUGUUUGAUAUUUGUACAGUAGAUUAUCAUUCUAUCCUCUUAGUAUGAAUAUAUUGUUUUUAUAUAUUUAGAGUUUGAAAGUAGUGUUAGGUUCAAGCUCUUUGUGCAUGAGAAGAGUACAAUUUAAAAACAUUUUUUUUUACUGGCAGUCAUUAGCAGCCGUAAGAAUGUAUGUUCCUUUUUCCUUCUUCCUUUUUGUCGGAAUAAAACAGGAUAUAAUGAGCACUAGAUGAAAUAUAGUGGUAAAUAUGCCUAUAGGACAAAUAUGUCUCUCUGUAAUGGACAAAAAUAACUGGUCUAGCGAUAUUUAUAGGUAUUUUUCUUUUCAUUUCUUAAAUGAGCAUGAAUUUAUAAUAUUGUGCUGUUAUUAUUUCCUUUAAUAUUAUAUAUUAUUGUUGUUAAUAAAAAAAAAUCUGACUGUU